rnacentral:rRNA from 1 species
AGCGAACGCUGGCGGCAGGCCUAACACAUGCAAGCCGAACGAAGUCUUCGGACUUAGUGGCGGACGGGUGAGUAACACGUGGGAACGUGCCUUUAGGUUCGGAGUAACUCAGGGAAACUUGUGCUAAUACCGAAUGUGCCCUUCGGGGGAAAGAUUUAUCGCCUUUAGAGCGGCCCGCGUCUGAUUAGCUAGUUGGUGAGGUAAAGGCUCACCAAGGCUACGAUCAGUAGCUGGUCUGAGAGGAUGACCAGCCACAUUGGGACUGAGACACGGCCCAAACUCCUACGGGAGGCAGCAGUGGGGAAUCUUGCGCAAUGGGCGAAAGCCUGACGCAGCCAUGCCGCGUGGAUGAUGAAGGUCUUAGGAUUGUAAAAUCCUUUCACCGGUGAAGAUAAUGACUGUAGCCGGAGAAGAAGCCCCGGCUAACUUCGUGCCAGCCGCCGCUGUAAUAC